ACAUGCAAGUCGAGGGGCAGCAUGGUCUUAGCUUGCUAAGGCCGAUGGCGACCGGCGCACGGGUGAGUAACACGUAUCCAACCUGCCGUCUACUCUUGGACAGCCUUCUGAAAGGAAGAUUAAUACAAGAUGGCAUCAUGAGUCCGCAUGUUCACAUGAUUAAAGGUAUUCCGGUAGACGAUGGGGAUGCGUUCCAUUAGAUAGUAGGCGGGGUAACGGCCCACCUAGUCUUCGAUGGAUAGGGGUUCUGAGAGGAAGGUCCCCCACAUUGGAACUGAGACACGGUCCAAACUCCUACGGGAGGCAGCAGUGAGGAAUAUUGGUCAAUGGGCGCAGGCCUGAACCAGCCAAGUAGCGUGAAGGAUGACUGCCCUAUGGGUUGUAAACUUCUUUUAUAAAGGAAUAAAGUCGGGUAUGUAUACCCGUUUGCAUGUACUUUAUGAAUAAGGAUCGGCUAACUCCGUGCCAGCAGCCGCGGUAAUACGGAGGAUCCGAGCGUUAUCCGGAUUUAUUGGGUUUAAAGGGAGCGUAGAUGGAUGUUUAAGUCAGUUGUGAAAGUUUGCGGCUCAACCGUAAAAUUGCAGUUGAUACUGGAUAUCUUGAGUGCAGUUGAGGCAGGCGGAAUUCGUGGUGUAGCGGUGAAAUGCUUAGAUAUCACGAAGAACUCCGAUUGCGAAGGCAGCCUGCUAAGCUGCAACUGACAUUGAGGCUCGAAAGUGUGGGUAUCAAACAGGAUUAGAUACCCUGGUAGUCCACACGGUAAACGAUGAAUACUCGCUGUUUGCGAUAUACGGCAAGCGGCCAAGCGAAAGCGUUAAGUAUUCCACCUGGGGAGUACGCCGGCAACGGUGAAACUCAAAGGAAUUGACGG
rnacentral:rRNA from 1 species